CCUACGGGAGGCAGCAGUGAGGAAUAUUGGUCAAUGGACGAGAGUCUGAACCAGCCAAGUAGCGUGAAGGAUGACUGCCCUAUGGGUUGUAAACUUCUUUUAUAUGGGACUAAAAUGUUCCACGUGUGGGAUUUUGUAUGUACCAUAUGAAUAAGGAUCGGCUAACUCCGUGCCAGCAGCCGCGGUAAUACGGAGGAGCCGAGCGUUAUCCGGAUUUAGUGGGUUUAAAGGGAGCGUAGGUGGAUUGUUAAGUCAGUUGUGAAAGUUUGCGGCUCAACCGGAAAAUUGCAGUUGAAACUGGCAGUCUUGAGUACAGGAGAGGUGGGCGGAAUUCGUGGUGUAGCGGUGAAAUGCUUAGAUAUCACGAAGAACUCCGAUUGCGAAGGCAGCUCACUGGACUGCAACUGACACUGAGGCUCGAAAGUGUGGGUAUCAAACAGGAUUAGAUACCCCUGUAGUC
rnacentral:rRNA from 1 species